UGGUGCUCUCUGGACUUUUUAUUUCCUGAACGUGUUUAAAUCAUUUUAAAUAUCAAAUAAAAGCAGUAAAACAGAUUAAUAAAACUGUUCUGAAUUAGCAGGAAACAUUCAGAACAAACUGAUGUUUGUCUCAGAAAUAAAUCCUUUGUUUUUGUCUUCAGGUUAAAGUAAGAAUAUGUUUGUUGUGUUUCCUGACCACCGUGUUUCUCAGCUUUACUUAUUUCCCUCCAAAUGUUGAGAAGAUGAAAAUGCGCUGAGCCACUUUGUCCUGGUUUUUCCUCCGUGUUCAGCAGAUGCUGCUGGAACCACAGAGCCUCCAGUCCCUGGAGAUCAGAAGCUGCUGAAUAAACUAAACAGAAGAUGGAUGACCUCACUGAGGCUGUUUUUGUAGAAGGUUAUUAAUCUGCGAUCAGACCCGAGUCCUGCCAGUCUGAGGGUGGACCAGAUGGCUCGGUUCUCCCACCAUCUCUGACACGCUGCAGACUUCAGGUUUCAGGUCUCUGUCUGCACCUUUAAUCCCAGUGGAGUCACUCMGGUCCAGCACGGAGGUCUCUGGGAGGUCCGGACCUCACAGCAGCAGCCAGCUUGUUGAUCUGACAGAUCCUGUGUCCAAGAUGAKACCUUAAAG